ensembl:lncRNA
CUGUCCAGGAGGACGGACUGAGGGGGCUUGCAGCAUGUCUGAGGUCCACUCAAUGGAUGAUGAGCCAGGGUGAAGCAUCCAGUGGACGCGUCCAGUGCGGUAGUGGUAAAAUUAGAGAUCUAGGUUUGCUCCGGAGGGGUUGACGCGGCGUCCUGAUGGAAUCCUGAUGGCGUCCCGAUGACGUGGCGUCCUGAUGGCGUCCCGAUGACGUGGCGUCCUGAUGGCGUCCCGAAGACGUGGCGUCCUGAUGGCGUCCUGUUGGUCUGCAGACAAGGAGAAGAGACAUCUGGAUUUGCUGCUGAGGGGUUGACGCGGCGUCCUGAUGGCGUCCCGAUGACGUCCCGAUGACGUGGUGUCCUGAUGGCGUCCCGAUGACGUGGCGUCAUGAUGGCAUCCUGUCUGCAGACAAGGAGAAGAGACGUGAGGAGGAUCAUCAGGAUGUGUCUAUCUGGAUUUGCUCCUGAGGGGCUGACGCGGCGUCCUGAAGGCGUCCCGAUGACGUGGCGUCCUGUUGGUCUGCAGACAAGGAGAAGAGACGUGAGGAGGGUCACCAGGAUGUGUCUAUCUGGAUUUGCUCCUGAGGGGUUGACGUGACGUCCUGAUGGCGUCCCGUUGACGUGGCGUCCUGAUGGCACCCUGAUGGCGUCCCGUUGACGUGGCGUCCUGAUGGCGUCCCGUUGGUCUACAGACAAGGAGAAGAGACGUGAGGAGGAUCAUCAGGAUGUGAGACAAGAUUCAUAGAUCCAAUUAUUUUAAUUUGAUGCACAUUUUAAUUAUUUCAUGUUUGUAUGGAUGUGUAAAUCUACAUUAUAUAUUUGUGGUUGUUAAACUGUAUUUCUGUAUUUGCUUUUUAUGUUUAGCUAGUCACUGUGCAUACCAAUAUGUUAGUGCGUCUCUGUGUAAGUACUUUUUACAUUACAUUACAUUUCAUUUAGCUGACGCUUUUAUCCAAAGCGACUUACAAUAAGUGCAUUCAACCAUAGGGUACAAACUCAGAAGUGCAAUUUCCUCAAAUAACUUUUAUAUGUUAGUGCGUCUCUGUGUAAGUACUUUUAUAUGUUAAUGCGUCUCUGUGUACAUCUACAUGACAACAGCAGGAAUCAGAGGUUUAUCUCAAGGUAUUAGCUUUAAAUCACAGCCUUCCCCACCCGAUAGACCAAUACAUCAUUCACAGCAGUAAGGCUGCAGUCUGUCUGGAUUCCUCACUUACCUUGAGCUCUGUUAAGUGCAGCAGAACGCGUCUUCAUUCCCUCUACAGACUCCUGAGGCAUUACAUGGUUGCGUUCUGCAAGUGUAGGUCCGGAAAACUUCAGUGUGUAGAUGCGAGGUUUGAAACUGACUGACUGGAUGUGCAACAGACUGUGUUCUUAUGCUGUGGUGAACGGAGCAUAGAACAUAGAACAUGGAACAUGGAACAUGGAGAAAUGUUCCAUCAUGAUGUAACGUCUCUAUGGUUACAGUGAAGGUAUCUACAAUAUGCAAAUGAGCCUUUAGAGUAAAUGUGUGUGUGUAUUUGUAUUGAUGGAGCUCAUCCACUUGACAUGGUGCAUAAAACACUUUGCUCUACUUGUUUUUUUCUAUGACCCCAUCUUGAUCUUGAAAGCAAACACUUAAAGAAUAAAUAAAGAACGAUUUUUGUCCAUUGUUUCAUCAAGUCGGAAAUUUGUAAACUGUUGAAUCCGGAUUUUUAAACAUCCCUUUCGAGCCCUCUUGUCUCCAGUCUUCAUGCUAAGCUAACCAGCGGCUGGCUUUAGCUUCACGUUGAGCGCGCAGACAUGAGAGUAGGGAUGAGUAUCGUUUGGGUUUUCCGAUACCGAUCCUAAACAGCCUGAACCCAAACACAACUGAAGAAAAGUUUUUUUUCACUUCAAACUAUGCACAAUAUAUGAACUUUUGAAAGUUUACAGUAUGAUUACAGUGUUUCCCCUCUGUAACAGCGGAAGUGUAGUUAAUUGGAAUUUGGGGAAUAUUAAUCAUUUAAUCUGAGAUUCAUGUUCAUUGUGCAGAACUAAAGACAUUUAUUGAAAAGCAUUUACGUUAGAUUGACG